ACGUACGCGGUCCCGGUGGCGGUGCUCACGGAGCCUACGGAGCGCCAUUUUAUGCGUUACAGUCGCUUCACCAAGUCGUGAGUUCCCGACACUUGCGCACCACAAUGGUGGCUUACCACGGACUAGGAUAACCUUCUAUCUUAGUCCGUGGUAGCCUAUCUAAUUUUUCAAGAUGCCACAGACUGUUGUUAUCCAUAGGAUAAAGAUUGAGUGACCACUGCAGACCUAAAAUCACACGGGCUGUCGACGCGGCGCUCUCCCCAACGGGUAUGCCGCCAUGACAGACCCGUUGUCUAUUGUCCACGUGUUUUUCAUUUUCGACCAAUGUCAAACGGACCGAUCACCCGCUAUGAAUAUUGCCGCAUCGCGUGUCACGUCUGACUUUGCGUAACAUCAAAUGGAUCAUGGAUGUUGUUGUCACGGCGGUGUUCCCACGGUUUUUGGAAGUACGCGAGUCUUUAGACCUUUUUGUGGCUUGAUGUCUGCACAAGAAAUGAUGAUUACCAGCAAAACGCGUCAUGGUACUAAGAUGGUUUUAGCCUACAUUUCUACCUAUUGUUGUGGAUAUAAGUCGUGAAGAUGGAAGCAGAUCGGAGUACUUCCAUGAGACGUGGGAACAGUGUUGGAUGAAAAGUUCUAUUACCUAUUUGAUUUGUAACUCUUGGUCAAACAUAGCCAUUCGAAGCAGUGAUAUCCAUAGUGGGAGACCGGACCAAUUGACUUGUUCGGAGUUUACGCAAAUACUAAUGUUAAUUUAAACAUAAACAUUUUUAUAAUUUGUUUUGAAAUAGUGCUUUUGAUAAAUAAACAACCAUUUAAUAUA